UACGAAGGGGGCUAGCGUUGCUCGGAAUCACUGGGCGUAAAGGGUGCGUAGGCGGGUCUUUAAGUCAGGGGUGAAAUCCUGGAGCUCAACUCCAGAACUGCCUUUGAUACUGAGGAUCUUGAGUUCGGGAGAGGUGAGUGGAACUGCGAGUGUAGAGGUGAAAUUCGUAGAUAUUCGCAAGAACACCAGUGGCGAAGGCAGGUCUCUGGGCUGACACUGACGCUCAUGCACGAAAGCGUGGGGAGCAAACAGG
rnacentral:rRNA from 1 species